AACGUACGCUGGCGGCACGCCUAACACAUGCAAGUCGAACGAAGUAGCAAUACUUAGUGGCAGACGGGUGAGUAACAUGUAGGUAUCUGCCCUUUGGCCUGGAAUAACACGAGGAAACUUGUGCUAAUACCGGAUAAGUCUUUACGGAGAAAGCUUUAUGCACCAUUGGAUGAGCCUGCACUUGAUUAGUUUGUUGGUGGGGUAAUGGCCUACCAAGACUGUGAUCAAUAGCUGAUUUGAGAGGAUGAUCAGCCACAUUGGGACUGAGACACGGCCCAAACUCCUACGGGAGGCAGCAGUGGGGAAUCUUGCACAAUGGAGGAAACUCUGAUGCAGCGAUGCCGCGUGAGUGAAGAAGGCCCUUGGGUUGUAAAGCUCUUUCGUCGGGGAAGAAAAUGACUGUACCCGAAUAAGAAGGUCCGGCUAACUUCGUGCCAGCAGCCGCGGUAAUACGAAGGGACCUAGCGUAGUUCGGAAUUACUGGGCUUAAAGAGUUCGUAGGUGGUUGAAAAAGUUAGUGGUGAAAUCCCAGAGCUUAACUCUGGAACUGCCAUUAAAACUUUUCAGCUAGAGUAUGAUAGAGGAAAGCAGAAUUUCUAGUGUAGAGGUGAAAUUCGUAGAUAUUAGAAAGAAUACCAAUUGCGAAGGCAGCUUUCUGGAUCAUUACUGACACUGAGGAACGAAAGCAUGGGUAGCGAAGAGGAUUAGAUACCCUCGUAGUCCAUGCCGUAAACGAUGUGUGUUAGACGUUGGAAAUUUAUUUUCAGUGUCGCAGGGAAACCGAUAAACACACCGCCUGGGGAGUACGACCGCAAGGUUAAAACUCAAAUGAAUUGACGGGGACCCGCACAAGUAGUGGAGCAUGUGGUUUAAUUCGAAGAUACGCGCAGAACCUUACCAACACUUGACAUGUUCGUCGCGACUCUAAGAGAUUAGAGUUUUCGGUUCGGCCGGACGAAACACAGGUGCUGCAUGGCUGUCGUCAGCUCGUGUCGUGAGAUGUUGGGUUAAGUCCCGCAACGAGCGCAACCCUCACUUUUAGUUGCCAUCAUUAAGUUGGGCACUCUGAAAGAACUGCCAGUGAUAAGCUGGAGGAAGGUGGGGAUGACGUCAAGUCCUCAUGGCCCUUACGUGUUGGGCUACACACGUGCUACAAUGGUAUCUGCAACAGGAAGCAAGACUGCGAAGUUAAGCAAAUCCCUAAAAGAUACCUCAGUUCGGAUUGCACUCUGCAACUCGAGUGCAUGAAGCUGGAAUUACUAGUAAUCGUGGAUCAGCGUGCCACGGUGAAUGCGUUCCCGGGUCU
rnacentral:rRNA from 1 species